GGCCCCUUUGAAAAUUCUCCAUUCCACUUUUCCGCAAACUCUCACCCUAAUGUGUCUUCUCUGAUGUCUCUUCACGAAACUCAUCGCUGGAUUUUCUACAACAGAUGUUCAUCCAACACCACCAGUUGUGUCAAGAGAUCGUAUACGAUUCAUAAUCUUACAGAUAUGUAAUCAAAUGUUCGUAAACCCUAACUCUAAUGUGUUUGAUUUUAUUUUUAAGUACACAAAAAUCAGAAGGGAUUUCGAUGCUGCUAAGUCGAUUGCUGAUCAAAGAAGUUCUAAUUAAAGUUUAAACAAUUUUCAAAGAGGUCAAUUUCUCGAGUUUCAGCGGCAAGCCUCUUAAGCAAGUGCCUUUCAGGUUGCCACCAUGCGAGCACUCUCAGUUGCAUCUUAUGGACAGA